rnacentral:rRNA from 1 species
AGUGAACGCUGGCGGUAGGCCUAACACAUGCAAGUCGAACGGCAGCACAGUAAGAGCUUGCUCUUACGGGUGGCGAGUGGCGGACGGGUGAGGAAUACAUCGGAAUCUACUUUUUCGUGGGGGAUAACGUAGGGAAACUUACGCUAAUACCGCAUACGACCUACGGGUGAAAGCAGGGGAUCUUCGGACCUUGCGCGAUUGAAUGAGCCGAUGUCGGAUUAGCUAGUUGGCGGGGUAAAGGCCCACCAAGGCGACGAUCCGUAGCUGGUCUGAGAGGAUGAUCAGCCACACUGGAACUGAGACACGGUCCAGACUCCUACGGGAGGCAGCAGUGGGGAAUAUUGGACAAUGGGCGCAAGCCUGAUCCAGCCAUACCGCGUGGGUGAAGAAGGCCUUUGGGUUGUAAAGCCCUUUUGUUGGGAAAGAAAAGCAGCAGGUUAAUACCCCGCUGUUCCGACGGUACCCAAAGAAUAAGCACCGGCUAACUUCGUG